rnacentral:ncRNA from 1 species
AAUUUGUGAAGGCUAAUUUAAGACUAAUUCAAGCCUAUAAGGCACAUUUAUACAAAAUUGGAAUGAGUUGAGCAUAAAUCCUUCAACAAGGAUUAAAUGAAGGGCAAGUCUGGUACCAGCAGCUGCGGUAAUUCCACCUUCACUAGCGUAUAUUAUUUUUUUGCGGUUGAAACGUUCGAAAUUUAUUCUUGUCCAACAAGGGUGCUCAACACGACAAAACUUACCGGGUUCGAACUUAUUGAGGUAAGACAGAUUUAAAGCUCUUUCUCAAAAUUAAGGGUAGUGGUGCAUGGCCGUUCUUAGUUCGUGCUCUGAUAUGUCUGGUUAAUUCCGAUAACGAACGUGACUCAAUCAAAUUAAACAGAACGCUAUCGGCAGUCAGAUAUUUGAUACUGACGGUUCGGGCAAUGAUGCCUCUGCGGUGUUGUAGUGUGACUGAUAAUACGUCAACCCAUCGUGGUUGACUUCUGCUCAAUAGGACAAUUUGUGUUCGGCAAAAUGAGCUUCAGCGAUAACAGGUCCGUGAUGCCCUUAGAUUUUCUGGACUGCAAGCACGCUACAAUGUGCGCAGCAACGCGUAUCCUUGCCCGAAAGGGUCGGAAAAUCGCUCAAAUGCGCUUGAUCACCUCGGCGUAGACGCCCACGUCACGGGCCGCACAUAUGAGGUUGUGUUGGUUUCCAGCACUUCCUUGAAAUUCAAGGCUUGAAUUGACUCUUAUGAGUUUUAAACAGCCUCCGUGUCGAAACAGGAUGGGAGAGUCUUGAAUGACACGUAAAUGCGUUACUGACCUGACCUCAAAUGUGCAUUUUGUCGGGAUUAUGGAUUGAAAUGGUCCAUAUGAACCUGGAAUUUCCAGUAAGAGCUGGUCAUUAGCUAGCGUUGAUUACGUUUCUGCCCUUUGGUCACACCGCCCUUCGCUACUACCGAUGGAUUGUUUAAUGAGGUUUUUGAACGGAAACAUUUGCUUGUCCCUCGGGAUUACAUUUAAAUCGCUGAAGUUGACCGAACUUGAUGAUUUAGGAGAAAGUUAAAGUUGUAACAAGGUUUCCGUAGGUGAACCUGCGAAAGGAUCAUUA